rnacentral:rRNA from 1 species
GAUGAACGCUGGCGGCGUGCCUAAUACAUGCAAGUCGAGCGAACGGGCGAGAAGCUUGCUUCUCUGAUGUUAGCGGCGGACGGGUGAGUAACACGUGGAUAACCUACCUAUAAGACUGGGAUAACUGCGGGAAACCGGAGCUAAUACCGGAUGAUAUUUUGAACCGCAUGGUUCAAAAGUGAAAGACGGUCUUGCCGUCACUUAUAGAUGGAUCCGCGCUGCAUUAGCUAGUUGGUAAGGUAACGGCUUACCAAGGCAACGAUGCAUAGCCGACCUGAGAGGGUGAUCGGCCACACUGGAACUGAGACACGGUCCAAACUCCUACGGGAGGCAGCAGUAGGGAAUCUUCCGCAAUGGGCGCAAGCCUGACGGAGCAACGCCGCGUGAGUGAUGAAGGUCUUCGGAUCGUAAAACUCUGUUAUUAGGGAAGAACAUAUGUGUAAGUAACUGUGCACAUCUUGACGGUACCUAAUCAGAAAGCCACGGCUAACUACGUG